ensembl:lncRNA
GCCACAAAUUUUGUGUCUUGGAAAAAAAAUCUGUCCACAGACAUAUACCACUAACCACACCUAACUUUUUGAUAUUUACUGCUGUUGUAGUCAUCUCCAGACCCAUAUUUUGCUGCGAUAAUCAACAUGCAUAGACGCACAGACUCAUUAGGUGUAAACAACCCUGUCCACACUGUCACUGCUGGUAAUCAUACCAUGCUUCAGAUAGCAGCAGCUUGGUACAACUGCAGUGUUUUGUUGCAGACUGUAGAUGGCACUCACAGGGUGCUGGUAAUAAUAGAUUUGCUGCACCUUAUUUUUACAUAAUACUCAUAUUCUUCCAAGCCAAAUGGUUAGGACAAGCAUAUCGGAUGCUAUACACGAAAAAUGAACGGUGGCUCAAUGUGUUUACUGAGUAUAAAGAAAGAAAGGAUAUUGUGGAUGUGAAGAAAUCAGAAUCUCGCCGGGAAAUCCUGCUGAGCUUUGUUCACCAACAUUAGAAGAUUACAAGAAUGGAGGAUGCAAACACUGCUCAGUUCAAUUCAGUUCAAAGGGGUCUUAUGGGCAUGAAAGUUUUAUAAAGCAAUAUUGCUGAGGCUUUAGGAUAUAAUUUGGACAAACAUAUGGAUUGGAAGCUACACAACUACAGUGAAAUAAAUUUCUGUGCACAAUUACCACUGAUUCAUGUGAAACGUAUUUAGUGUGUAUAAUAUGUUUACUUGUCUGAGAGAGAGUGAACAGCUGAACCAGAAGAUCUCCUCACACAUCUCAAACUUGGACCAAAAAGAAAAGAAAAGAAAAGAAAAAACCCAUUUUACAAAAUAACAUUGAAACAAAUCUCCUGCGAGGAGCAGGUAGCAGAGUUAAUAACUACUCGCUCUCAUUGCUAACGAUGGGUUUCCUGCAUAGAUUACCAGGAAGUGCUGUGUUUGUCACUUUACACAUAAAGUCUGAUCAGCAUUUUAUAUAAUGGAGAGUUAAAUGAACAUGAUGCUGAGAGCAAAUAAGGCAAUCUUUGCUGAUGCAGCCAU